rnacentral:rRNA from 1 species
UACGGAAGGGGCUAGCGUUGUUCGGAAUUACUGGGCGUAAAGAGCGCGUAGGCGGCUUACCAAGUUGGGGGUGAAAUCCCGGAGCUCAACUCCGGAACUGCCUUCAAAACUGGUAGGCUCGAGUCCGGAAGAGGGGCGUGGAAUUCCCAGUGUAGAGGUGAAAUUCGUAGAUAUUGGGAAGAACACCGGUGGCGAAGGCGGCGCCCUGGUCCGGUACUGACGCUGAGGCGUGAACGCGGGGGGCGCAAACAGG